UAUGUGCCCUUGGACUACAUCGU
rnacentral:ncRNA from 2 species